GUCAUGUCCACCAGGAGGUUCUUUGACUUAUUUUAACAUGGUUUUUUUAACAUAUGUUCUACUGUGUUUGUCAGGCUGAAGAGCUUGCCGCUGGACGAGAUGGUCAAUCACGUAGCCACUGAAUCAUCAUCACCAACAUUGAUCGUUCGUGCUAAUUUUUCUAUUAUAUACUAUCCUUUGUGUACAGAGCUACAGCCAUGCUUAGCAUGCCAUCAACCUCAUUGAAAUUUAUGUUGCAUAAAGGAUAUAAGAAAGUUGUGUUGUUUUCACCUUGCAAUGGCAAAGACAAGAUUUAGCAAAAUAAGUACAGCAUCCAAAGUUUUA